rnacentral:rRNA from 3 species
CAACUUUUAACGGUGGAUCUCUUGGCUCGUGCAUCGAUGAAGAACGCAGCCAGGUGCGAUAAGUAGUGUGAAUUGCAGAAUUCAGUGAAUCAUCGAAUCUUUGAACGCAAAUGGCGCUCUUGGGUUCUCCCAGGAG